rnacentral:rRNA from 1 species
UACGAACGCUGGCGGCAUGCCUAAUACAUGCAAGUCGAGCGAACAGAUGAAGUGCUUGCACUUCUGACGUUAGCGGCGAACGGGUGAGUAACACGUAAGGAAUCUACCUAUAAGCGGGGGAUAACAUUCGGAAACGGGUGCUAAUACCGCAUAAUAUCUUCUUCCGCAUGGAAGAAGAUUGAAAGACGGCUCUGCUGUCACUUAUAGAUGACCUUGCGGUGCAUUAGUUAGUUGGUGGGGUAACGGCCUACCAAGACGAUGAUGCAUAGCCGACCUGAGAGGGUGAUCGGCCACAUUGGGACUGAGACACGGCCCAAACUCCUACGGGAGGCGGCAGUAGGGAAUCUUCCGCAAUGGGCGAAAGCCUGACGGAGCAAUGCCGCGUGAGUGAAGAAGGCCUUCGGGUCGUAAAACUCUGUUAUAAGAGAAGAACAAAUUGUAGAGUAACUGCUACAGUCUUGACGGUAUCUUAUCAGAAAGCCACGGCUAACUACGUGCCAGCCGCCGCGGUAA